rnacentral:tRNA from 1 species
GGUCUCGUAGUGAAAUGGAUAUCAUAGGUGUCUUCGAAACAUUUGUUUCAGGUUCGAAUCCUGACGAGACCGCCA